UUCCGGUUGAUCCUGCCGGACCUGACUGCUAUCGGAUUGAUACUAAGCCAUGCGAGUCAUUGUAGCAAUACAAGGCAUACGGCUCAGUAACGCGUAGUCAACCUAACCUAUGGACGGGAAUAACCUCGGGAAACUGAGAAUAAUGCCCGAUAGAACACUAUACCUGGAAUGGUUUGUGUUCCAAAUGAUUUAUCGCCGUAGGAUGGGACUGCGGCCUAUCAGUUUGUUGGUGAGGUAAUGGCCCACCAAGACUAUUACAGGUACGGGCUCUGAGAGGAGUAGCCCGGAGAUGGGUACUGAGACACGGACCCAGGCCCUAUGGGGCGCAGCAGGCGAGAAAACUUUGCAAUGUGCGAAAGCACGACAAGGUUAAUCCGAGUGAUUCGUGCUAAACGAAUCUUUUGUUAGUUCUAGAAAUACUAACGAAUAAGGGGUGGGCAAGUUCUGGUGUCAGCCGCCGCGGUAAAACCAGCACCUCAAGUGGUCAGGAUGAUUAUUGGGCCUAAAGCAUCCGUAGCCGGCUCUGUAAGUUUUCGGUUAAAUCUGUACGCUUAACGUACAGGCUGCCGGGAAUACUGCAGAGCUAGGGAGUGGGAGAGGUAGACGGUACUCGGUAGGAAGGGGUAAAAUCCUUUGAUCUAUUGAUGACCACCUG
rnacentral:rRNA from 1 species